AUUUUAGGUGGCAUGUGUGACCA
rnacentral:siRNA from 1 species